GGGAAUGUUUCCAAGACGCUGGAAAAUCGAUACUUACUGCGAAGUAUCUCAACACUUGCCGCUCACUGUAGUUUACAAAUUCAGUUGUAAUCACCGUGGUACAGUAGAUUCACACCCUUGUUGUAUUUCUGAAUGACGCAAAUUAGGUGAACGAGACGCUUAAAACUAGUGUUCUUUAAAACGCCAGAACUGUAAAAAGUUCAUUCAGCUUCCGUGGUUAAAUAAAGUGUUAUGUAUGCUAUAUGACUUCUAGUAAGGCUUGGACACUCUCUCUUUUGAUCUCUUGCUGUUAUGUAAUGAGUGGAGUUCUUUUUCUUCUGCAGAUGAAGCUGGCUGGCGACAUGAUGGGAACAUUGGCGAUCCUCAGGUUUUAUCUUCAGUUCUCUCUGAAGCCGGCUUUGAUGGCGAGGCGUUGAUAGCAGCAACUCAAGAUCAACAAAUCAAAGAUCAGUUACGAAUAAACACUGAAAGAGCAUUCGCUGCCGGACUGUGUGGGGUUCCAAGCUAUCAAGUCAACAAUGGAUCUGUGGUGUGGGGACAAGAUAGACUGAACAUUAUUGCCGACAUGUUGUGUGGUUGGGAAGACCACUUAAAACCAACCACCAGUAACAGCAAACUUUAAAAAUAAUUCAGUCGAUAUGUUAGAGCACAGAAACAAUAUUCCAUGCCAUACUGAACACAAAUGGACGGCUUUGAUUGGCUUACACCCUUGAUGUCACACAUCUAAGAGAUCUUACCCAGAAUCACCAGCGCACCUCAAAGAAUCCAAAGAAACAUCUUUGAAGUACAUCACUACUGAAACACUGUAAUCAAAGUUCUGUUUGAAUAAUGGCCGUUGAGUGUGCUUUAUCUACUGUUGGAUAAACGAGUUGCAGUGUUCUAUUCCAGUUUCGAGCUGAUAAAACAAAGUAACGGCGGAAGUCGCGAGCGGCGCUGAGAAGUCGUUCAAUAUAACAGCUGAUAUCUCGACGAAUAAAUGCUGCCUUAUCGCUAAACUGGAUUAAACUUGGAGAGAGACACUGGAACGGUGGAUUCCACAGUGAUUUUCCUCAACAAUUUAACUGACACGAGUGAGAGAUUGUAGCAUUUUAACAAUAAAAGCUAAUAAAACUGAACUGAAAUACA